rnacentral:misc_RNA from 1 species
UGUGGGAGCUGGCUUGCCUGCGAUAGCGGUGGGUCAGCUACUGAAUAGCUCGCUGAUAGACCGCUAUCGCAGGCAAGCCAGCUCCCACA